AUUGAACGCUGGCGGCAGGCUUAACACAUGCAAGUCGAGCGAGCGGCGGACGGGUGAGUAAUGUCUGGGAAACUGCCUGAUGGAGGGGGAUAACUACUGGAAACGGUAGCUAAUACCGCAUACUAUCGGAUGAACCCAUAUGGGAUUAGCUAGUAGGUGAGGUAAUGGCUCACCUAGGCGACGAUCCCUAGCUGGUCUGAGAGGAUGAUCAGCCACACUGGGACUGGGAGACUGCCCAGACUCCUACGGGAGGGAGCAGUGGCGGAUAUGGCACAAGGGGGGAAAGCCCGAUGCAGGGACGCCGCGUGGGGGAUGAAGUCUUUCGGGUUGUAAACCUCUUUCGCUAUCGAACGGGUAGGUGGAGAAGAAGCGCCGGCUAACUACGUGCCAGCCGCCGCGGUAAUAC
rnacentral:rRNA from 1 species